rnacentral:misc_RNA from 1 species
UUUCCGUAGGUGAACCUGCGGAAGGAUCAUUAAUGUGUUUGGGCCUCACGGCUCUUCAUUCCGACGCUGUGCGCCUUCGGGCUGCACGCUGAGGGAGCAUAUAUCCACCCCUGUGCACACACACGGUGGCGAGCUGGGUAACGGCUCGCCGCUGAUCUUUACACACGUCUAAAAGUCAUUGUAUGUUUAUUCGAGAUAAAAACACAACUUUCAGCAACGGAUCUCUUGGCUCUC